AUGGCACAUAAUAGAGCCCCUGGCCCUGACAACAUUCCUGUUGAAUUCUAUCAGGUGUGCUGGGAUAUUGUUAAAGAGGACCUUAUGAGGUUGCUUGCGAGCUUUCAUAAUGGGACAUUGGAUGUCCAAUGUCUGAACUAUGGGGUGAUCACCCUUUUGCCCAAAUCUAUGGGCGCGGAUAAAAUCCAACAAUUUAGGCCUAUCUGUCUCCUGAGAUGUCCAUACAAGCUUAUUACUAAAGUUUUGGAUCGGCGAGUGGAGAGAUAUGUUGAUAAGCUCAUUAGCUCGACCCAAAAUGCUUUUAUCAAGGGAAGAAGCAUUAUGGACGGGGUGUUGUCGCUGCAUGAGAUUCUGAAUUACACCCAUCUGAAAAAGAGGGUGGGGGUCGUCCUGAAACUUGACUUUGAGAAAGCGUACGAUAAGGUGAACUAG
rnacentral:rRNA from 1 species